rnacentral:tRNA from 1 species
GGAGAGGUGCCCGAGUGGUUUAAGGGAACGGUCUUGAAAACCGUCGUGCCGGAAACGGUACCGUGGGUUCGAAUCCCACCCUCUCCGCCA